GGCAACUUUGCAAGCAAGUCUUUAAAAGGCCAAUCCUGGCAUCACAACUUGGGGAAACUACACGUGGUUUCGACGCCUCUGGAGUCCCGUUAUAACAGGCAGCAUCUAAGUCAAGUCCACAAAAGCUGUCCUUUCAAUCUCCACUGGCUGUCCCUGCCUGUCGUACAGAGCUAAGACGAAGUGGAAAAAAUUGGAUUUUCUGAGAUUGGAAGGCGGCUGUUUCUCGAAAUGUGCCCGAGCCAACCCCACACCGCUGCGGGGAGAAAAACAAGACAAUGUCUGGAAGCGACCACUUUACUCCCCGCGAAUCGAAACGCCGUUUCAAGUCGUUCUUUCCGUCUUCAAUCUGUCCCGGCUUGGCACGACAUAAACAAUAUACUGAGCAGUUCUACUUGGAUGGCGUUCCAGUUUGGAGGUUUAAAAAAAAAUUAAAAAAA